CGCAGAUCUUUUCCGUUGUAGUGUUCGGAGAGGUGUUUUGUGUGUAGACGUUUGUUUGUUUUCUUUUUAUCGUCGCAAUGGCCGGCUAUAACAACGUGGAAGAUUAUUCCGAGGGCUCCAAGAUUAACGCAAGCAAAAAUCAGCAGGAUGAGGGGAAAAUGUUUAUUGGAGGUCUGAGCUGGGAUACAAGUAAGAAAGACCUUACAGAAUACUUGACUCGUUUUGGUGAAGUGGUUGAUUGUACAAUUAAGACUGACCCAUUGACAGGGCGUUCCAGAGGGUUUGGAUUUGUCCUUUUUAAAGAGGCAGUGAGUGUAGACAAAGUAUUAGAAACAAAGGAACAUAAACUUGAUGGCAAGCUUAUAGAUCCAAAAAGAGCAAAAGCACUGAAGGGGAAAGAGCCUCCAAAAAAAGUGUUUGUUGGUGGUCUUAGCCAAGAUACUACAGAGGAACAGAUCAAGGAAUAUUUUGGAGCGUUUGGAGAGAUUGAAAACAUUGAGUUGCCCAUUGAUACAAAGACUAAUGAAAGGAGGGGUUUUUGCUUCAUUACAUACGCAGAUGAAGAUCCAGUUAAAAAACUCUUAGAGAGUAGAUUUCAUCAGAUUGGUUCAGGAAAGUGUGAAAUAAAAGUUGCGCAGCCCAAAGAAGUUUACAGACAGCAGCAGCAACAAAGAGGUGGAGGUGGUGGUGCAGGAGGAAGAGGUGCACCAUCUGGCAGAGGAGGCUCCAGAGGCAGAGGUCAAGGUCAGAAUUGGAAUCAAGGGUACAACAACUACUAUGAUCAAGGCUACAACAAUUACAGCGGCUCUUACAAUGAUCAAGGCUACAAUAACUAUGGUGGCUAUGAUUAUCCUAGCUACAACUAUGGAAGUUAUGGAGGAUACAAUCAGGGAUACACAGAUUAUAGUGGUCAGCAGAGCACAUAUGGCAAAGCAAGAGGAGGAGGAAACCAUCAAAACAACUAUCAACCAUACUAAUGGAUCUUUAAGCGGGAACUUCAUUGCAGGCCGUGUGUCACCCUGACCACGUCUAUCUCUGGUGUCGCACGUUGUGGGCAGAGCGCAAGGCAUACACCUGAAAUCGCUGUCCUGUGGCAGAAAUGGAUAAGGAGUAAACAAUCACAUUCGUCCAUGCAGGAAGGGUCCUCUUUGAAAUACUCUUCAGUGCGAGGGCUUGCAUUUGAAAACAAGACAUUUGUCUUGUUGUGUAUAUAGUACUGGCUUUUUUUAUUGGGUUUUAUUUUAAACUUUUUUUUUUUUUUUCUGUGUAAAUGCAGAAGUUUUAUGUUCUACAAAAUGUGUUAAUGUGUAUAAAUGCUCGUGACUCGGUGCAUUAAUGAUGGAAUAUUUGUAAUAAAAAAAAUGGGAAAUUUUUUUUCUCUGUA